AACACGCAUGAACACAAUUUGUAUGAUUGUGUGACCUGUCAGGAUGACUAUUUUGAAAGUUCUUCGCCUUCUUUAAUUUCUUUGGGUUGUUCCGUCUGAUUAUCUUUCUCUUAUGAUCAGGCAUAUGGAUUAGGAACACAUUUAUGGACUUUAUGUCAUAAAUGUCUUAUCUUUUCAAAAGAAUAUUGGGUGGCAGAGGAAGUCACUUUAUUAACUGCUAUGAAUGAGACUUCCAAAUGGUAAAACUAGAAAGCGCAGUAGUGCAUUAAUAUCUUCGCUGCCUCCAGGCCGAUAUCAGCUCGAUGAAGUCUGUAAACUGUGGAACACCAUCUUUCAAGAUUUCAGCUUAUUUUGAUUGCCAAAUGACU